AGGGUUUGAUUAUGGCUCAGGAUGAACGCUAGCGGCAGGCUUAACACAUGCAAGUCGAGGGGCAGCGCGGGGCGGCAACGUCCUGGCGGCGACCGGCGGAAGGGUGCGUAACGCGUGAGCGACAUGCCCGUUGCCCGGGGACAACCGGUGGAAACGCCGACUAAUCCCCGAUGGGAUAUUGUGCCGCAUGGCACGAUAUUGAAAGUUACGGCGGCGACGGAUUGGCUCGCGUCCGAUUAGCUGGUUGGCGGGGUAACGGCCCACCAAGGCUACGAUCGGUAGGGGUUCUGAGAGGAAGGCCCCCCACAAUGGGACUGAGACACGGCCCAU
rnacentral:rRNA from 1 species